rnacentral:lncRNA from 1 species
AAUUAUAUAUCUCUCGAAUAGUGUCUCUUCAUGGUGUUCCCCUGGAGAUUAACUCGGACCGUGGAAGUACCUUUACUUCUCGCUUCUAGGAAAGUUUUCAGAAUGCCAUGGGGACUCAUCUAUCUUUUAGCACUGCUUUCCAUCCCCAAUCAAGUGGUCAAGUAGAAAGAGUGAAUCAAAUCCUAGAAGAUAUGCUCCGAGCUUGUGUUAUAUCGUUCGGUAUGAAUUGGGAAAAGUGUCUUCCAUUCGCCGAAUUUGCUUAUAACAAUAGUUACCAAUCAAGCUUUGGCAAAGCCCCUUUUGAAGUUCACUAUGGACGAAGAUGUCGGACACCUCUAAAUUGGUCAGAAACCGGAGAGAGGCAACUCUUUGGCCCGGAUAUGAUCCAGGAUGCAGAAGAGCAGGUUCGCAUUAUUCGUGAAAAGUUGAAAACAGCCCAGUCUCGUCAAAAGAGCCAAUAUGAUCAUCAUCUUAAGGCUGUGACCUUUGAAAUUGACGAGAAGGCUUACCUUCGGGUUACACCUUUGAAGGGUACCCAUCGAUUCGGUAUCAAGGGCAAAUUGGCUCCUCGUUACAUUGGUCCUUUUCGCAUUCUUGCCAAACAAGGAGAAGUUGCCUACAAGUUGGAACUUCCUCCGCAUCUUUCCAAGGUUCAUGAUGUUUUCCACGUCUCGCAACUUAGGCGUUGCUUUUCGGAUCCUAUCCGUGAAGUGGACCACGAAACGCUUGAUCUCCAAGAUAACCUUUCAUACCGAGAAUACCCCGUGCGUAUUCUUGAUCAAGCUGAGCGUACCACUCGACGUCGAAACCUCAAGUUUCUUAAAGUUCAAUGGUCAAAUCAUUCCGAAAAGGAGGCAACUUGGGAAAGAGAGGAUCGUCUCCGACUUGAGUAUCCUGCGUUAUUCCCGACGACUUCUAAAUCUCGGGACGAGAUUCUUUUGAGUGGGGGUGAGUUGUCACAUCCCUGACACCCUAAGCAAGUUAGUCUUGUGCUCAUGUCUUCUUUGCAUUUGCAUCUAAUAAUUCUCCAUCAAGAUCAAGAAAGUGGCAAAGGAAAAACUCAAAACCCUAGCCACUACUUUAAAUAAAGAAAAUUUCAAACUAGUUGAAAUCAAUGAACCCAAAAUGGCCUCAAGAAAUGUUCAAACUUUCUGAUAAAUCAUGAAAGUAAAUGAGCAUUGGAGAAAACUAUUUUCUUGACACCUUAAGCAUUUUAAAUUAAAGCAAAAGCCACUGGUUUCAAACUUUAAAUUUGAAAUCAGAAACUAUAAAUUUUCAAAAAUGUUGAAAACUUUGGAAAUGGUUGAGAAUAUUAUAACAAAUAUUCAGGUGUGUUUAAAUUAGUUUUUACAACCUUUUUGGAGCUGAAAUAAAUAGCAAAUCAAUGUCAGAAAUUAAAACAGAAAUAAAACAGAAGGAAAUGGAAAAAGGGUUACCUGUCGCCUAGCCUGGCCCGGCCCAUCUCCCUGGGUCGUCCCCUCCCUCGCGCCACUAGGAGCACGAGGUGGCCGCCGCCUUCUCCGGCACGGCCAUGCACCUGUGCGCCUGCCUGGCCGCCGCCUCGUGCUCGCAAGGCCGGGGAUAAGCUCCCCGAGGACAUCUCUAUCCAUUCCCAGCGUCGGUUCCUUCCCCUCCUGUCGCCAUUGGAGCCGAGCAAAGCUCGAGCUGCCCAUUCCCCUAGCCUUAGCCUCCUCUUGCUAAGCACGCCGUUAGCUCCGCCCCAUCGAGCCGGUCCUCCCUGCACAAGCCGAAGUCUCCCCGAGCUCUGCAUCGCCCCCAACGCCAUCGUCUUCCACCUCCGGCCACCGGACCUCUCCCGUCGAUUCACUCCCUCCGGCGCACCCCCGAGCCCUUCAACAACACCAUCGGAACCGCCGUAAGCUCGUCGUCGUUUUGCCUCUCGCCCCACGUUCUUCCGUGCAUCGUAGCCCCGUUCCCCACCAAGGCCGAGAGCUCCUCGCCGCCGGUCAUGUCGUCGUCGUCGCUGUGGUGCCUGUUCCACGCGCUCGAGCUAGGGUUCGAGCUCCUGGAGCCUCCAGGAGUGUGAUUAGCCCAUCAGCUGUCCUCCCCGUGCCCUAGAGCCAUCUCUCGUAGAAGGCCGAGCUUCGGCCGCCGCUUUGGCUCGUCGCCGGCGCCUCUCCCGGCGACCCUAGCCUCCCCUGAUGCCCCUGCUAGAUCGGCUACUUCGCCAGCGUCCCGUAGCUGCAAACCACGUUCCAAUUGGUGCUGUGCAGCACCGUUUAGGUCGUCUCCGGCGAGCCCUCCGCCGCGGGCUUGGUCGCUGGCGACCACCCUCCGGUGGGCGUCGACGUGGCCGACCAUUAGGCCGUAAUUGCCCUCCCCUCAGUCACUGCCAGAGGGCCCCACGCCUGGUCAAACCCCAAUUAGGGACUGGUCAGCGCGGGAUUAGUCCCAGAGAGGCUGACCAGUGGGUCCCCCUGUCAGGUUUGACCUGAACAGGUCGGCUGACCUGCUGACGUCAGUCUGAUGCAAUAAAUAGAAUUUCCAGUAUAGAAAUAAUUCCAGGAAAUUGCUAAAACUUGUAAAAUCAUAGAAAUUAAUCUGUAACUCCAAUGAAAAUAAUUUAUAUAUGAAGAAGUAUCAGAAAAAGUCAAGGAUUCUGAUUAUGCUAUUUUCAACCAUGUUUGAAAAAGUUACAGAACCCUAAAAUGUGGAAUAAGGAAUAAUUCAAUUCUUAUAAUUACUUUUUAAAUGGAAUUUGGAAAAUAUUCAAAUUUCAAUAUGAAUGCCAUGAUCACACACUGUCCUAAUUACAAAUCAGUACCCUAACAUGACAUCUCAUGCAUGUUAACAUCAAGUUGAUCUGAGCAUCAGGUCGAAUCAAUUAAAUCGGUAUUCGAGAAUACCCCGUUUGAAUUGAUAUUCGAAUGUGAUUCAAAUCAACCCUAAACCUAACACAUAUUGAUCACCUUGCAUUCUCAUGCCAUGCUCAUGCAUCAUUUUGAGUGCAUAUGAUUGUUAUUGAAUGUUGCCAUUCAUUUCGGUAGGCUCCGCACCCCCGGAUUCCACCGAAUAUCCGUUUGACGGAUAUCGUUCCUCCUCUGAGCAACAAGGCAAGCAACCCCUUUGAUCAUCCCGAUAAUUCCCAUGUUCUUGCUCCAGCACUUAUUUAUUGCAUUAGGAUCAAAUGCUACAACUGCUUUUGCCACGUUAGCUGAACCCACUUCCUUUGCAUGACCUAACCUUGUCACAGUAAAUAGCCGAACCUUGCAACCUAGCAUACCUGGUAGUUGCUUGAGCUAUGAUGUGCCUUAUCCUGCUAUGCAUGCUAUGCUUAGAGUUGUGUAUGGUCUGUCAUCUGGGAGAUGAACAGAAAUGAGGAAUGUGUUCGGUGAGCAAAGGUUGUGUGUUGAACUUGAUUUGGUAAAGGUACCGAUGAAAGGCUGUGUAGGAGUACAUGGCGGGUUGUUUCAUUGGAACUGUCCCUAGGAACUGAGUUCCGUGUAUGUAAUCCAAGACUAGAUACUACCACAUGCUGGGCCCUGAAAUAUGACCCCGCUUGGCCUAUUAAUCCCGUAGUACUCGGUCCAGGAGUUGCAAGUAGUUUCUGGUGUUUAUAGUAAUGCUGGAGGCCGUGCAUGGUGCUGACCUGAGAGGUGGGUCGUGAUGCGGUAGGCAGUGGCACGGUGUACCAAGUGGCACCCGGAUGGUGGGCUUGGGAACCCUGCGCACAUCGUUUGAGGCCGUGGCGGAAACCUCGGCCGGACUUCCGUACGGGUUACUCUCAGAUAGGCGAUAAACCUGGACUAGGUACUAGUGUGGUUAACGGUCGUGGCCGACUCCCUCGCUGGGCUUCCGCUUGAAGGUUGCCGAGGUGCAUGACGUGCACAUGGCGAUAAGUGGCGAGAGCGUGUGUGACGAAGUACACCCCUGCAGGGUUAUGAUCUAUUCGAAUAGCCGCGUCCGCGGAUAUGGACUACUUGGAGACAUAUGUUGUUCAUAGAUAACUUCAAUGGCUACUCAUAAAAUUGUCAAGAUAAGCGUGAGUGUCGUGGACGGCAUUUCCGUAUGGAGACGGAAUGAUUCCACGAUAGUGUAUUGUUGUGGUGUUAGUGGACUCUUGUGCGAGAAAUCAAGUUGUCAAAAUUAUUUGAAAAUGCAAGUUGUCUAGCCACGAGUCAAAUGCUGGCUCUCCGCAUGAAACCCCACAAUACCCUUUUGAUACCUUGCAUGAGUAGUUAGUUAUCCUAAAGUCUUGCUGAGUACCUUCGUACUCAUGUUUGCUUAAUAAAUGUUGCAGAGGUUGCUAAUGACCCUAAUGGAGGGUUCUUCGUAGACAUCGACGACGACGAGUAGCUGGUGUCCCAGCUACGAUCUGGCCCUACGUCGGCUCUGUAGUAUAGUCAGGCCACGUGCCUACUGGUUGCCCUGUAUGUACCCAGACAGUUUAUAACUCUUCCGCUGGCUUGUAUUGUAUGACUGCUAUUAUGGGUCGUGAGACCCUUAAUGUGUAAUAUUAUGUGUGUGGCUCUUCCGAGCCUCUUAAAUAAAGCUUGUAUGUUUAUGGUUAUGUUGUGAUGCCAUCGAUGUAUCUAUACAUAUUGGUAUGCCAUGCGUACGUGUGUCAUGCUUGAUAUGUAUGGGGUUCGAUUACCUAGUCGUGAUCUUUAGUAGCACUCCUUACAAGGAAAUGCCCCUUUGUGAUCCAACGAGCCUUGGUAGUUCGCUACUGCUCCGGACGCAUUGGUUGACCGGCAUGUGUCCUUCUUAGCUGAUGUGUCUGUCCCCUUUGGGGAAAUGUCACCAGAUCUAAUGGAGUCCUUGUAGCAUGCUACGACUCGUCUACAUUCGCUGAUGACCGACACCUGCUUUGUUGGGUCAUGUAUGCCUGUCCUUGUGCGGUACUGCCACUUUGGUUUAUGACUAGACAUGUCGAUCCAGGUUCUUUGACAUUGGAUUGCUAGCGACACUAUCGCAUACGUGAGUCAAAAGACGCAAACGGUCCCGGCUAAGGUAAGGCUGCAGUCGUGGAGUUAACCGUGCGUGAGACCACAAAGGGAUGCGAUGUGUUACAGGCUGGAUUCCUAUGGCUUAGGAUCGGGGUUCCGACAACCGAGGCGGUGCUUGGAGAAGGUUAAAUAGAAAUUUGCAUAUCAUCGUUGUGGCUUUGCGUAAGUAAGAUGCGAUCAUACUAGAUACCCAUAUCAGCCACGUAAAACAUGCAACAACAAACUAGAGGACGUCUAACUUGUUUUUGCAGGGUAUGCUUGUGAUGUGAUAUUGCCAAUGACAUGAUAUGAUAUAUUGGAUGUAUGAGAUGAUCAUGUUGUAAUAGUUAAAUAUCGACUUACUACAAGAAAUUUGUUAAUCCAUGACGGACUCAAGCUGUCACAUAUGAUUGCAAAAACGUCAUUAUAGGUCAUCCUUGACGGAUACCAAAUCCGUCAUGUAUAUCGCGUCAUAAUUUGAUCACCAUGCACAUGAUGACGGAACUGCAGAACUGUCACGGAUCCAUGACGGUUCUUGACCGUCACUGCUUACUCUCAGAUAACGGCAUUAAUCGUGCAAUCCACGUCAUCAUAUGACAUGGCAGCCAACAUGAAUCUGACAUGGCAUCCCAUGUACUAGCCGGCCUAAUUUUAGUUUUGCCCAUUAAAUUUCAACUUAGUCCAAGAGUGUCGGCCCUUCAUAAGAAUUUUGGACUAUCAAGUUUCGGGUCCGUCGAAGGCCCAAUAAUUUUAGUUGAGACAUUAUCAAUCCAUUUGUUUCUUUUGGUCCAUGAAAAGUUUUAGUCAAUAUUUUUAUCCUGAUUAUUUGUGCUCGUUGCCUUAAAAAUAAAAAAAGGAAAUUGCAUAAACAUAACAGAUAAAAAACAUUAUGUUACCAAAAGGAACAAAUACAUAAUAAAAAACAUGGAAUUACAUUUUUUUCUUGGAGAUCUAGCCUACUACUCUGACCGGAGCUACUCUGCAGCCAUCACAUCUCAAGCACUGCCCAACUCUCUCGGGACAUUAAACCGAGUUCAUCCCCAUGGAUUUUCUAGCAUAGAUCUGGCACACAUCUUCAAAAUGAUAUAAAAGAAAAAACAUCGCCAGAGAAGCCCUUAGAGAUGUGUUCGCUGUUGCUACUCAUGUGGGACACGCCAGUGUGAGGGCAUCUCCUCCAGGCGAGGAAGUGCCCAGACAACAGUGGCCCUGGAUCCCGCGAGCGCUAUGACAUCGUUGUGGUGGCUGG